GGCGUGCUUAAACAUGCAAGUCGAACGAUGAAGCCCAGCUUGCUGGGUGGAUUAGUGGCGAACGGGUGAGUAACACGUGAGUAACCUGCCCUUAACUCUGGGAUAAGCCUGGGAAACUGGGUCUAAUACCGGAUAGGAGCGUCCACCGCAUGGUGGGUGUUGGAAAGAUUUAUCGGUUUUGGAUGGACUCGCGGCCUAUCAGCUUGUUGGUGAGGUAAUGGCUCACCAAGGCCGACGACGGGUAGCCGGCCUGAGAGGGUGACCGGCCACACUGGGACUGAGACACGGCCCAGACUCCUACGGGAGGCAGCAGUGGGGAAUAUUGCACAAUGGGCGCAAGCCUGGGAUCGCAGCGACGCCGCGUGAGGGAUGACGGCCUUCGGGUUGUAAACCUCUUUCAGUAGGGAAGAAGCGAAAGUGACGGUACCUGCAGAAGAAGCACCGGCUAACUACGUGCCAGCAGCCGCGGUAAUACGUARGGUGCGAGCGUUAUCCGGMAUUAUUCGGGCGUAAAGAGCUCGUAGGCGGUUUGUCGCGUCUGUCGUGAAAGUCCGGGGCUUAACCCCGGAUCUGCGGUGGGUACGGGCAGACUAGAGUGCAGUAGGGGAGACUGGAAUUCCUGGUGUAGCCGGUGGAAUGCGCAGAUAUCAGGAGGAACACCGAUGGCGAAGGCAGGUCUCUGGGCUGUAACUGACGCUGAGGAGCGAAAGCAUGGGGAGCGAACAGGAUUAGAUACCCUGGUAGUCCAUGCCGUAAACGUUGGGCACUAGUGUGGGGGACCAUUCCACGGUUUUCCGCGCCGCAACUAACUCAU
rnacentral:rRNA from 1 species